GAUGAACGCUGGCGGCGUGCCCAAUACAUGCAAGUCGAGCGAACAGACGAGGAGCUUGCUCCUCUGACGUUAGCGGCGGACGGGUGAGUAACACGUGGAUAACCUACCUAUAAGACUGGGAUAACUUCGGGAAACCGGAGCUAAUACCGGAUAAUAUAUUGAACCGCAUGGUUCAAUAGUGAAAGACGGUUUUGCUGUCACUUAUAGAUGGAUCCGCGCCGCAUUAGCUAGUUGGUAAGGUAACGGCUUACCAAGGCAACGAUGCGUAGCCGACCUGAGAGGGUGAUCGGCCACACUGGAACUGAGACACGGUCCAGACUCCUACGGGAGGCAGCAGUAGGGAAUCUUCCGCAAUGGGCGAAAGCCUGACGGAGCAACGCCGCGUGAGUGAUGAAGGUCCUCGGAUCGUAAAACUCUGUUAUUAGGGAAGAACAAAUGUGUAAGUAACUAUGCACGUCUUGACGGUACCUAAUCAGAAAGCCACGGCUAACUACGUG
rnacentral:rRNA from 1 species